rnacentral:rRNA from 1 species
GAUGAACGCUGGCGGCGUGCUUAAUACAUGCAAGUCGAGCGAACAGACGAGGAGCUUGCUCCUCUGACGUUAGCGGCGGACGGGUGAGUCACACGUGGAUAAUCCACCUAUAAGACUGGGAUAACUUCGGGAAAGCGGAGCUAAUACCGGAUAACAUGUUGAACCGCGUGGUGUGACAGUGAAAGACGGUGUUGCUGUCACUUAUAGAUGGAUCCGCGCCGCAUUGGGUAGUUGGUACGGUAACGGCUUACCAAGGCAACGAUGCGUAGACGAGGUGAGAGGGUGAUAGGCCACACUGGAACGGAGACACGGACCAUACGCCUACGGUAGGCAGCAGUAGCGAAUCGUCCGCAAAGGGCGAGAGCAUGACGCAGCAACGCCGAGCGAGUUAAGAAAGUGUUCGGAUCGUAAAACUCUCUUAUUAGGGAAGAACAAAUGUCGACGUAACUGAGCCCGGCUUGACGGUAACGAGUAAGAAAGCCACGGCUAACUACGUG